rnacentral:rRNA from 1 species
UACGAAGGGGGCUAGCGUUGCUCGGAUUUACUGGGCGUAAAGGGCGCGUAGGCGGACAGUUAAGUUGGGGGUGAAAGCCCGGGGCUCAACCUCGGAAUUGCCUUCAAUACUGGCUGUCUUGAGUGUGAGAGAGGUGUGUGGAACUCCGAGUGUAGAGGUGAAAUUCGUAGAGUAUUCGGAAGAACACCAGUGGCGAAGGCGACACACUGGCUCACUACUGACGCUGAGGCGCGAAAGCGUGGGGAGCAAACAGG